UUAAGUUCAGCGGGUAGUCCUACCUGAUUUGAGGUCACAUUAAUGAAAAUUUGUCCAAGUCAAUGGACUGUUAGAAGCUGAACUUGCUUCACCAUCAAUAGCGUAGAUAAUUAUCACACCAAUGAUCAGUCAACAAAUUGUUCCGCUAAUGCAUUUCAGGGGAGCUGACCUCAGAAGAGAGGCCAACAAACAAAGACCCC
rnacentral:misc_RNA from 1 species